UUUUAUAACAUUUACGUAUCGUGAUGAGGUCACAGGAAAAAUUAUUAUUAUUCAUGAAGUUAGGAAAUGUUAAGUAACAAAAUAAAAUGCCUGAAAAUGCAUGUAUGUUAUCCAUCAAGCAUUUGUUGGACUGGGAAAAGUGUUUUUUUAAAUUCAUAAUUUUCCCAGGGAUGAGGGAACAUUAAUCUGAGCCUGAGAUGAUCACCACUUCUUAUUGUAUAUAUUAUAGAUUUAUAGAUAGAUUCUAUUAUAUUUUAUAUAUGUGUGUGUAUAUAUAAAUAUGUAUGUAUAUAUGUAAAAUUUCAUAAAACUUUAUUAUAAUCAUAUUUAAAAUACACAUUUUUCCGCCAAAGCACCACAGGCGCAGUGGCGCAGUAAUACCCUACUGAUGUAAUGCGGUCAUAUGUAAUGAUACAAAUAUUAUUCCUCCGCCGCCACGCAAUGUAGUUCUGCUGAAGCAAAAGCGGCUGCUUAGCAACACAGAGGCAGUGGCGCAGUAAUACUGGUGUAAUGCGGUCAAGAGUCAUUUUAAACGGCUCAUUUAUAUUUAUUAAUUAUUAUUAAUGUAUUAAGUUAUUGAGUUAACAUAAUUUUCCCGCAUAAGUUACGUGGCGAAGGUGAAAAGUGGACAAUAGUAGCUGUUCAACUCACGCUCCACUUGUGAGGAUCCCAAGCAUUAAACCAGCCUGUGAAGGUGGGUGGCUCAUAGCCCUGUUUAACGGAGAUAAUCGGGGUCCCGGGGUCUCGACCUGCAGGGUGGGUUUUAAGAUAUUCCACUGCACUGUUGUUUGCUUCCUGAGUCUCAUACUGGUUGGACGAGUUGCCAAUCCAGAGGAAAAUCUGAAGGAGAUGAGAGCAUGACUACUUUUUGCAUAGCCCAGACCGCCGUGACCACUUUACCACAGCCACAUGCAAAAGAAUCAGACAGAGCCUGAUCAAACACAACCCACCUCCUCCCAGGUGUCUAACAGCAUGACAUCAUCUUCAUCCAGGUCGUCCUGUGUGAAGUCAGCCACUUCCGUCAUGAGGAAUCGUCCCGUCUGAUUGGAGCACUCGAACAGGCGUGGAGUGUGAAGUGCGUCGUCUUUUUCCAGUCUGGUGGAAAUGCAGAAAUGAUCAUUAACUGAAUAAAAAUAUGGGAUGAUGAUG